rnacentral:rRNA from 1 species
AGUGAACGCUGGCGGUAGGCCUAACACAUGCAAGUCGAACGGCAGCACAGUAAGAGCUUGCUCUUACGGGUGGCGAGUGGCGGACGGGUGAGGAAUACAUCGGAAUCUACUUUUUCGUGGGGGAUAACGUAGGGAAACUUACGCUAAUACCGCAUACGACCUACGGGUGAAAGCAGGGGAUCUUCGGACCUUGCGCGAUUGAAUGAGCCGAUGUCGGAUUAGCUAGUUGGCGGGGUAAAGGCCCACCAAGGCGACGAUCCGUAGCUGGUCUGAGAGGAUGAUAAGCCAAACUGGAACUGAGACACGGUCCAGACUCCUACGGGAGGCAGAAGUGGGGAAUAUUGGACAAUGGGCGCAAGCCUGAUCCAGCCAUACGGGGUGGGUGAAGAAGGCCUUCGGGUGGUAAAGCCCUUUUGUUGGGAAAGAAAAGCAGCAGGUUAAUACCCCGCUGUUCUGACGGUACCCAAAGAAUAAGCACCGGCUAACUUCGU